CACUUUAAAUUAAGCCCGCUAACCCAUCACCACAAUUUAAUUAUUAAUAAACCCUUAAAUACUUAAAUCGUAAAAUAAACCAUUUUUCCACCCUAGUAAGGGAGACAAAAAAG
rnacentral:rRNA from 1 species